AUGACCAUGACACCAGCACUGGCUUUGCUCAUCCUUCUGGCAGCUCCCCUGGGUAUCCUGGCCCAGGUCACGCUGAAGGAGUCUGGCCCAGGGGUCAUGAAGCCCGGAGAGACCCUCAGCCUGACCUGCACCGUGUCUGGAUUCUCUCUCACUAGCUAUGGUGUGAACUGGGUUCGGCAGGCAGCAGGGAAAGGGCUGCAGUGGGUGGGAGUUAUCUGGGCUAGUGGAAGCAGCUACUAUAACAGCGCUCUCCAAAGCCGCCUCACCAUCACCAGAGACACGUCCAGCAGCCAAGGGCACCUGCACCUGACCGGGGUCCAACCUGUAGACACAGCCCGGUAUUACUGUGCUGGAGACACAGUGAAUGAAAAUGCAUGCGAGCCUGCACAAAAACCAGCCCUGCAGGACCGGCCUGCCUGCGUAUCAAUCAACAAAACCAAACAGCAAACCAUCAAACCCACCAGCCAAAACCACACAC